UUUUUUUCAUGGCUUGUCAUUCAGUUUUCGCAUCUCAUUCAGUCGUGACUUGAGCUCGCGUCGAGUCCUCAACAGCAGCCAUCCAUCGCCAUCUUCUGGCCCAAUAGUGACCACCCAUCACCGCCGUCGAAAACAACACCAUCAUCAUGCGAAUCAAAAUCGGCCACCAUCAUCUCAUCUCCUCCCAAUUUCAGUCUUUUAUGCUUGGUGUAAGUGAUGUGGCUGCCAAACCUUGCAAAGUCCAUGCCCGUCGAUCUUCUAUGGCUGCUUCCCAUGUUUCUACUUACCCAAGGCCUAUGUGAAGUGCCAAGGCCGAUACUUUCAAAAGAAGCUAAAAGUGUGCAUCUUGUGGUGGAGAUCACUUUUCUAAGAAGUGCUUUGAGGUACAUGGAUACCUCAACUGGUGGGAUGAGCAUCAUGCCUUUGAGGGGGAUUGUAGCCUUUAGACUACUAGUCAUGAUUAAUAAGUUUCGAGAUCAUACAAAGCCAUGGGUGUCUACUGCUCUAUUGCCUUAUUCUACAGUUCAGUUUCUAUCCAAUCUCAUCAUCUCUCACUCUCAAUUGAAAGUUGAAAGAGACACAAUGUUCAUGUGGGAUAGAAACUUUUAGUUGGAUUAACUAUCUAUAAUAUUAUGAAAUGAUUAUCUUCAUUUUGA